rnacentral:rRNA from 1 species
AGAGUUUGAUCAUGGCUCAGGAUAAACGCUGGCGGCGUGCCUAAAACAUGCAAGUCGAACGGACCAUUUCGGUGGUCAGUGGCGAACGGCUGAGUAACACGUGGGUGACCUGCCCUCGAGCGGGGGAUAACUGCCCGAAAGGGUGGCUAAUACCGCAGACAUCACGGGUUCGUUCUCGUGAUUGAACUUAUCGGGGUUCGGGGAGGGGCCCGCGGUCGAUUAGCUAGCUGGUGGGGUAACGGCCUACCAGGGCUGCGAUCGAUAGCUGGUCUGAGAGGAUGAUCAGCCAGACUGGGACUGCGAACGGUCCAGACUCCUACGGGAGGCAGCAGUGGGGAAUUUCGCGCAAUGGGCGAAAGCCUGACGCAGUAACGCCGCGUGGAGGAUGAAGGCCUUCGGGUUGUAAACUCCUGUCAGGGGGAACGACGGGGAGAGGGUGAUAAAUCCUUUCCUCCAGACGGUACCUCCAAAGGAAGCCCCGGCUAAUUCCGUGCCAGCAGCGGCGGUAAUAC